CCUGGAAGCUCUGCAGACAGCCCACGCCGCCCAGGCGCUGGCCGCUCUCCCUCAGGAACAGACUGUUGCCGUGGCUGCUCAUCGUGUCUCUGCCAGGACAGAAGAGACCAUGUCUGUCUCCUCCUUCACUGAGAUCAUCUCAAGCAAUUGGGGAGUACUGCAGCUGUCAAACCAAAGCGCCAUGCCUUUGCUGAAUGCCGAUUGCAUGAAGAGCUCUUGGAAGGGCAGCCCCGCCCCAGCCACAACAGUUGAGCCUCCAGUCUGAAGACGGCCAUAGUCGACUUUUCACAAGAACAAAUUCAGCAAGCGCCUGGUACUUUCAUGCUACAGUGGCAACGGUGAGUUGCUGAAAUAGAGAUCAGAAAACAAACUAUUUACCAAAGUGGCUAUGACUUUACAAAAGUGGGGGCAGAGAGGACAAGAGGGCUUGUUGGGUAAAGAGGAUUGUUGUCAAGCUGGGUGGCCUUAACUCAGUCCUGGACCCACAUGAAGAAAGGAGAGAACUAACUCCCACAAGUUGUCCUCUGACUGCCUUGUGCAUGCUCGAGGGUGCAUGCGCACGCACACACACACUGAAUAAAUGUAAUAAUUUUUAAAGGCUGACUUUAGCCUAGUAAAAUCAUCUAUGAAUGCUGGAGUACUGAGGGCACAGCUCAGAAACGGAGCGUUCAUCAACUGCACAUGAGGCCCCACGUUCCAUCCCAGCAGUGGAGGGGGGAAAAAGCCAACCGGUGGUAAUUAAACAUUAAAAAACAAUUCAACAAAUAAGCAGAAGUCCAAAAGAUACAGACUUGGGCUCAAAUGCAAGGCUGUCUUCAACACCCUCACCACACCCGCCUAGAUCAUUGUAAAUGCACACAGCUGUGAUGUGCCACUAUGUUGAUUCUUCCUUUUUAUCUCAGUGGACAUGUGAUAACUGCUCCCACUCACAGGGCACAGUAAAACCUUUCAGAACAUAAAGGCAACGCAUGAUGCCAGAUCAAGUUCCUUAGCAGUUUCAUUCCCAUUGGCCAGGAACAUUCAAACUCCUGUUUUCUAAUCCUUUAUAAAAGAAUAAACUGUUGAACAGUAUCAUCACCCUCCCCUUCUCUGUCUCCCCUCUGAUAAUCACUAUUCUUCUGCCUGUUUGUUCAAGGUCAAGAUUUGUAGCUUGCAUGAGAAUGAGAUCGCACGGCAUUUGACUUUGUGUGCUCAGCUUAUA